UACGGAGGGUGCAAGCGUUAAUCGGAAUAAUUGGGCGUAAAGAGUGCGUAGGUGGUUUGUUAGGUGAGUUGUGAAAGACUUGGGCUUAACCUGAGGAUGUCAACUCAAACGGGCAAACUAGAGUACAGUAGAGGGUCGUGGAAUUUCCGGUGUAGCGGUGAAAUGCGUAGAGAUCGGAAGGAACACCAGUGGCGAAGGCGACGACCUGGGCUGAAACUGACACUGAGGCACGAAAGCGUGGGGAGCAAACAGG
rnacentral:rRNA from 1 species